rnacentral:rRNA from 1 species
GACGAACGCUGGCGGCGUGCUUAACACAUGCAAGUCGAACGGAAAGGCCCUGCUUUUGUGGGGUGCUCGAGUGGCGAACGGGUGAGUAACACGUGAGUAACCUGCCCUUGACUUUGGGAUAACUUCAGGAAACUGGGGCCAAUACCGGAUAGGAGCUCCUGCUGCAUGGUGGGGGUUGGAAGUUUCGGCGGUUGGGGAUGGACUCGCGGCUUAUCAGCUUGUUGGUGGGGUAGUGGCUUACCAAGGCUUUGACGGGUAGCCGGCCUGAGAGGGUGACCGGCCACAUUGGGACUGAGAUACGGCCCAGACUCCUACGGGAGGCAGCAGUGGGGAAUAUUGCACAAUGGGCGGAAGCCUGAUGCAGCAACGCCGCGUGCGGGAUGACGGCCUUCGGGUUGUAAACCGCUUUCGCCUGUGACGAAGCGUGAGUGACGGUAAUGGGUAAAGAAGCACCGGCUAACUACGUG